rnacentral:tRNA from 1 species
UGCCUCAGUUGGUAGAGUGUGGCACUUGCAAAGCCAAAGGUUGUGGGUUUGAUUCCCAC